AUUGAACGCUAGCGGAAUGCUUUACACAUGCAAGUCGAACGGCAGCACGGGGGCAACCCUGGUGGCGAGUGGCGAACGGGUGAGUAAUACAUCGGAACGUGCCCAGUCGUGGGGGAUAACGUAGCGAAAGUUACGCUAAUACCGCAUACGAUCUACGGAUGAAAGCGGGGGACCGUAAGGCCUCGCGCGAUUGGAGCGGCCGAUGUCAGAUUAGGUAGUUGGUGAGGUAAAGGCUCACCAAGCCGACGAUCUGUAGCUGGUCUGAGAGGACGACCAGCCACACUGGGACUGAGACGCGGCCCAGACUCCUACGGGAGGCAGCAGUGGGGAAUUUUGGACAAUGGGCGCAAGCCUGAUCCAGCCAUUCCGCGUGCAGGACGAAGGCCUUCGGGUUGUAAACUGCUUUUGUACGGAACGAAAAGGCUCUGGUUAAUACCUGGGGCUCAUGACGGUACCGUAAGAAUAAGCACCGGCUAACUACGUGCCAGCAGCCGCCGCCG
rnacentral:rRNA from 1 species